rnacentral:rRNA from 1 species
CGUGUAGGCGGGAAGGCAUGUCGGAUGUGAAAGCCCUCGGCUCAACCGAGGAAUUGCAUUCGAAACUGCCUUUCUUGAGUACGGGAGAGGGAAGCGGAAUUUCCAGUGUAGAGGUGAAAUUCGUAGAUAUUGGAAAGAACACCAGUGGCGAAGGCGGCUUCCUGGACCGAUACUGACGCUGAGACGCGAAAGCGUGGGGAGCAAACAGGAUUAGAUACCCUGGUAGUC